AUUGGAAUGGGAAAGGGGACAAUUAGCUGGAGGCUCUACUAAUUCAAGCCCUAUUAUUGCCAACUCAUGCAGCCCCGCGGGUCCCGGAAAAGUUUAGCCCACCCUCCAACCUGGACUACCAAUAUUGGAGGGGUGCCACUGGAGGGUAAAGAGAGAACCCCACCACUGCACAUACUGCGGCAUAUUUUAGCAUAUUACUGGCCACACGGAGUCUGCAGACACUAGCUCCCCUUGAACUGGCCAACAAAUAGAGAAGUGUACACCACCCGACGGCUCAAUGAGGGGAACACGGG